AGAAGAUGGGAAGUAAAGCUAAGAUGUGAACCAAAAUGAUUCUGAUUUGGCUGGACUUGAUUAAUACCACCACUGCUAGCAGGAGAAGCAGAAAAAGCCAUUCAUUAGGAAGAAGAAAGCGGCUUCCCCUGCCUCUCUUUGUGCUCCAGAAUAAGCAGAGAGCGUUUCACAGAGAGAUGGUUUUCCCAAUGGGGACACAACCCUCAGAGAAUGGAAAUGUCAUUGAACAACUGCUGGAAAGCCACUGAAUGUCUCUUGGCACAAAUUUUCUCAUAUGUAGAACAGAGGUUGAUUCAGAGAAGCGGUUUUCAAACUAUGCUUUGAAGCUAUGCUCUGAAGAAUCCUUGGAGUGCCCUCAAAGACACAAAGGGCUGGGAAGAGGGAGCAAGCCAAGUGGGUCACUUUUUUUGAAACAGAGUGACUAUGUUUGACUUUCUUACCUUCAUUGGAAAAAAUUGAG